rnacentral:rRNA from 1 species
UUCAGCUAGAGUAUGAUAGAGGAAAGCAGAAUUUCUAGUGUAGAGGUGAAAUUCGUAGAUAUUAGAAAGAAUACCGAUUGCGAAGGCAGCUUUCUGGAUCAUUACUGACACUGAGGAACGAAAGCAUGGGUAGCGAAGAGGAUUAGAUACCCUCGUAGUCCAUGCCGUAAACGAUGUGUGUUAGACGUUGGAAAUUUAUUUUCAGUGUCGCAGCGAAAGCGAUAAACACACCGCCUGGGGAGUACGACCGCAAGGUUAAAACUCAAAUGAAUUGACGGGGACCCGCACAAGUAGUGGAGCAUGUGGUUUAAUUCGAAGAUACGCGCAGAACCUUACCAACACUUGACAUGUUCGUCGCGACUCUAAGAGAUUAGAGUUUUCGGUUCGGCCGGACGAAACACAGGUGCUGCAUGGCUGUCGUCAGCUCGUGUCGUGAGAUGUUGGGUUAAGUCCCGCAACGAGCGCAACCCUCACUUUUAGUUGCCAUCAUUAAGUUGGGCACUCUGAAAGAACUGCCAGUGAUAAGCUGGAGGAAGGUGGGGAUGACGUCAAGUCCUCAUGGCCCUUACGUGUUGGGCUACACACGUGCUACAAUGGUAUCUACAGCAGGAAGCAAGACUGCGAAGUCAAGCAAAUCCUUAAAAGAUACCUCAGCUCGGAUUGCACUCUGCAACUCGAGUGCAUGAAGCUGGAAUUACUAGUAAUCGUGGAUCAGCGUGCCACGGUGAAUGCGUUCCCGGGUCUUGUACACACCGCCCGUCACACCAUGGGAGUUGGUUCUACCUUAAGGCAAGGUUUUAAACCCUUGACCACGGUAUAGUCAGCGACUGGGGUGAAGUCGUAACAAGGUAAC